GAAAGUUAGCUUUUUUAUGACCCAGAGAGCUUCUGGAUGGGAACAAGGUCAGAGUAAACACGAUGUGUUAUCUACUCCUGACAAAUCAGCAAACAGCGAUUAUGUAACUGCGUAGACCAAAAUCCUUUUGGAAAAUUUAGAACAUGCUUGGCACCACAAGAGCAUGCCUGAACAGUUUUCACAUGGAUUAAUAGUAUUUUGGGGGGGAAGUUAAGUGUACAUCACUGGAGUUGAAUUACAGCAUAAUGUAAAGUGGUCAGUGGUGUUCUCCCUCUUCUAGCCAUGGCCUAACAGUAGGCCUAAGUAUUGAUGCCAUAGCCAACCUUAGGUCUUCAUAGGAUCCACAUACUAGAUGUCUAUGUGAAGUGGGGACUGAAGAUGGAGGAUUCCAGAAAGUGCAGAAGAAUAUUGAGAUGUGAGAACGAGGAGGCAGAGGUGGAUGGAGACCAAACUACACACUGAAGGACAAAACGUCCAGGCCAGAGUGAAGCCCACAUAGAUGACAUCAAAAUCAAUGACUCUCAAGCUUGUUUGGCAGAAACUGACGUUCCUCUGUCAUCCUUCUUGGUGCGUUCUGCACUGACCUUGGGAGCCGAAGCCCUUUGGAGAGAGAUGCAUUGUGCUGCAGAGAUCCAUUGCCAAUUACCAGUGACAGAUAAAGAUGUUGCUUCCCGUAACGUGUCACGUUCUUUCAAAAUCGAACCCAGAAGCAGACCAGGACAAGGAGAGUAGGAAGAAGGUUUUUUUAUCGGUUGGAAGCACUCCAAGCCCACUGAUUGGAGAUGUCAUCUGAAAUCAUCUUAUUACGGAGGGGUGGUGGAAUUAAUCUUGACAUUAAGUACCAGAGAAAUAAUUGAUGAUUCACAGUAUUAAAGGAGAUUGCCUGUCAGGUUUAAUAAUAUGGUAUGUUUUUACUAUUUAUUAAAGCUUCCAUCUACAAUUCAAGGCCUAUUCCUAU